UCUGACAUGUGUGUUCAGAAUCAAACUUAGAUUCUCUGCAAGAGCAGCAGUUCUUUUAACCACUAAGCCAUAUCUCUAGCUCCUUAACUUAGCUCCUUUUAACUGACUUAUGAAGAAUGGAUAACCAAAUCUGGCUCGUUGGGACUUAGGCAGUGACUCUAAAUUCAAUAAGACUCUCUAGGCAUGCAAGCACCCAGAUACCCAAAGGGUUUCACUUCUCUACCCAAAUGAUAGAUAGAGACCACAGUACAGACUGAACUUCCAGGAAUCGUGGUCACCAUGCUCUCUGUGAUUCUGCAUAUGUGGGAUUAGAAUGGGAGAAGAUGAUAUAUGUUAAAGGAAAAGAUUCAUUUUUAAAAGAAACCUGUGCCAACUGGUGGUGUUGUAACACAUAACUAUCUAUGCACCGUCAUGGGAGAAAAGUCUCUACUAUCAUAAAACCUCUGAAACCUCCCAAAGGAAAUCUGAAUCCAUACGAAAAUGGAUCCAUGUACUAAUGUGGCAUUUGUUAUCAAAGCCAAAAAAUGGAGCCAGGGCUGGUGAGGUGGCUCAGCGUUAAGAGGGCCUGUUGCUCAAUCAUGGGAGCCUGAGUCUGGAUCCCAGUGUCCACAGCCAGUGGCUUACAAUGGCCAGUAGCUCCAGCUGCAAGGGUUCUAAUGCCCUCUUCUAGCCUCCAUGGGCACUGCACGCUCAUGAUGCCCAGACAUGAACAGAAAGCACCCAUACCCUUUAUAAUAACUAAUCUUGGCUGCUAAUUGACUACAUCUGGAAUCAACUAAAACUCAUGCGGUUGAGUGUUCCUGCAAUUGGAUCCUUUGAGGUUGGGAGACCCACCCUAAAUCUGGGCCAUACUUCCUGGUGGCAGCUCACAUAAAAGUACAUGAAAGAAGGAAGCUUGCUGCUUCGUCUUUUUUUUUUCUUUUCUGUUUUCCCGCAUGUUUUGUCGCUUUUGUUGAGGCAUUCCUUUGUUGGUGUUAGAACCUACUUUUUCAGGAUUCCAUCAUGCAGCAAAGACCAGCAUUUCUUCAGGAAUCUUCGAGGACUCCAGCACCAGAUUGGGCCUGCUGAGACAUUCAGUCAUGUGGACUGAGCAACUACCAGAUUCUCGGCCUUUCCACUGGGAGACUGCUCCUGUUGGAAUAUCCUGAGCACAGCCUAUCUAGGGAAAUGAUCAGAGAAUGGAAUUAGGGACCUAUAAGUUCUCAAUGAGAUGGAUCAGACCUGACGCUCUAUGGGUUUUCUUCCCACUAUCCUGGAAGUUUUCCAUAGAAAGAUCCAACAAGAAGAUAGCAGACAUUCUCUCUGUUUCCCCGAAGGAUCUCCGUGAUCAAUCCAGCCAGCACCACAGGUGGUUCCAGAGCGGUCUAACCCAGCAGGAGUGAGUACCUUCCAGCAGGUGACCCAGUAUAAAAAAAGUCUAAAGAAAAGCAGUGUUGCUUGCCUUCCCUUGGUCUGGAGUCCGUGUGUCUGUCUCUGCUGCAACUGUCCUCUUCUGACGUCAGACUGAAGCAUCUUCAGCCUUCUUCCAACACAAAUUGCACACUAGUGACUCCCCAGGAAUCCUCCAGACCUUCAGCACCAGACUGGGACUGCCAAGGUGAUCAACUUUGUGGACUAAACAGCACCUCUAGUAUUGUUUCUCCAAUUCUGUGAGAUGUUGAAAAUCUGCUUGUCUGACACCUACAGGUCUCCUGUAUCCCAGGCUGGCCUUGAGCUCACUGACUUGCUGAGGAUGACCUUGGACUUCACCUGUCCCUAUCUCCCAAAUGCUGGGAUCACAGAGAAGUGAGCACUGUUCUCUGUUCCACUGCUGAAGCUACGAGUUGUUCCCUCUGCCGUGAUGGACUGGAAGCCCACACAAAUGGUUCCUUCCUCCAGUUGUUUCUAUCAGGCAUUUUGACAUAGCAACAGCUGAGGUGACUAAUACAACAGAAGCUUUCAAUUUAACAAAGUCCAACUUAUUGGCUGUGGAGCUGGUGAAUGCACUGGGUUUCUUUGUACAUCUUAAUAAAACUUACCAGAAACCUGUUGUCUUCAGCUACUAAGAAACACACUAGUCUGUCCCACCUCAGAGGCUUGGGAACACCUUGUCAUAUUCCAGCCCUAGGGAUCCAAAUUGACUUCUCUUCCUAUGAGCAUCUUGCUGCUCUGCUGCUCCAAACACAGAGCUGUGCUUCCUGAGCCAUCUGAGCAGGAAGUUGUAGGCAUCUGUCCUGGGUUUUUUUCUUUGGCUGUUAUUCUCUACUAUCACACAGUUCAGAAGCCCCUAUCAUAGGGAAUGGUGCUGCCCAUGGUGGGCCGGGUCUUCCCAUAAUUACCUUAAUUAAGACAGGUCCCCACAGACAUGCUCUCAGGUCAGUCCAAAGUAGGCAACCCCUCGCUGAGACUCUCUUCCCAGGUGACAACUCUAGGUUGUAUCAAGUUGACAUUUAAUGUUGACCUUCAUGAUCUCUAAAGAUGACUUGGCCACGUGGUGUGUGUUUGAAGGUCAGGUGAUCAAAUCCCACAUGAUUUGGGGGAGGCUUCUGCCUUGAUGAUAUUGCUACACUGCAGUGGCCUGGGUCAAGUGGAGAACUGCUUAGGGUACUUUCUAUUGUGUAAGAUACAGCACAGGGCCUUGCGGCUCUCUUUGGAUUUUACAGUUAUCGGAUACAUGAUAUCAAGUGACCCACAGGGAUGUCACUUUUCAAUGAGGCCCAGUGUAUUAAGUGUAAACCGGCCCCCAUAAUCUCAUAGGGAGUGGCACUAUCAAGAAGCACAGCUUUGUUGCUGUGGGUGUGGCCUUUUUAAAGGAUGUGAGUCACUGUAGGGGUGAGCUUUAAGAUUUUCUAUGCUCAGGAUACCACCCAAUGUCACAGUCAACUUCCUGUUGCCUGCAAGAUGUAGCAUUUUCAGCUCCAGUAUCCCGUCUGCCUGCCACCAUGCUCUCUGUCAUGACGAUAAUGAGCCAGAGCUCUGAACCUGUAAGUGGUCCCCUUCAAUUACGUGUUUUCUUUGAAAGAGUUGCCGUAGUCAUGGUGUCCUUUCACAUCAAUGGAAAACUAAGACACCCAGACAAGAAGAGGCCCAGGCUGCUGUGCAACCUUCUUAGCUGUGUGAGUGUUUCUGAGCAUCAGAGUCACGAUGUGCAAGGUGCCUGCGGGAGGUAGGAAGUUCUGUGGGGGCCAUUCCGGCUCCUGCAGGGACUUCACAGUCGACCACCUUGGUCUAUGGAGCUGAGCCCUGCCAUCCCCCAUGGAUACUUCCUCAGAUCCUGGAUUGCCCCUAGGCUUUACAGAACAUCUGGCCAUGUGACACCAACUGGCCACAUGACCUGAACUGCAUGUAUAAAUGAGCUAUGAAAUGACCCAUGAUUCAAUGGGUUGGGGGACACAGGUGUGCUUCAGCAUUUCGUAGAGGCAGUGGGUGCAGGGCAGCCUGAUAACCACCAACUCUGCUAGUCACUUCACUCAUUCCUGAAACAGAUGUUUCACAAAAGCAACCGAAGGAGAAAAGGUUCAUUCGGACAGUCCGUCAUAGUGAGGAAGGCAGCUCGCAGGGCUGCGCGCACAGUUGCGAAACAGAUUGAGAAGAAUGCCGGUGCUCAGCUUUCCUGCUUUCUAUCCAUCCCGAUAACCCAGGCUACGAGAUGGUGCCACCUACAUUUAGGGUGAGCCUUUGCACCUCAACUAACCCAAUCUAGAAAAUCCCCAACAAAUAUGCCCUAAAGUUUGUUUCCAUGGUGAUUCUAAAUCCCAUUAGGUUGACAGUCAAGACUGACCAUUGCGUACUUCAAAGCUCCAUGGAGUUCCAUAAAGAGCUCCCAUGAUGCCAGUGGCUUGUUCCUGCUUCUUUGGCAGCCCCUCCCAGCAGCACCUGUCCUUCAUAUGUCAUUUCCUGGUACCCAGUCACUGAGAAAGAAAAAGUCUUGCCCUGGCUUCCAGUAGCUUUGCAUGGCACGUCAGCCCAAUCCCAAAGUGAGAAGGUAACCUGCAGCCUCCUGUCGGGAAUGGGAGGAAGGCUACACCCCAGCAGGCGAGGCUCAGCACAGUCACCCUGGUUGCUCUACUUGACCUGGAAGGAGAGAUCAGGGUUAUAGGUUCCACCAUUUGGUGGCUGUCGGCCCAUAUUUCUGUAUGGCACAAAAGCCAUAGGCCCAGUCUGAGCUGAUCAGUAGCUCUGCAGACAAGCUGUCUCUGCCUAACAAUAGCAAGGAUGUACUUGUUAGAAAUGUAGAUCUCCUGAGGAGAGGUGUUUACUGAAACUGGUCAGGAUGUUUGGUGCUUCCUUCCUUUGUAAUUUGGAGGAUGUCUUAUAGAGAUGCUAAUUCAUGGCCUACCUGACUGCUAGAUGUGGAUGUGACCUGAGCCCAGGCACCUGGUUGCCUAGGAGACAGCCUAAU